GCUCCUGUCAUCCAACGGUAGGACCCUGCGUCUUUCCCCGGUGGCGCGGGAAUGCGGGUUCGAGUCCCGCCAGGAGCC
rnacentral:tRNA from 1 species